rnacentral:piRNA from 1 species
UGUCAGGCAGCCCAGUAGAAAUAUCUAA